rnacentral:lncRNA from 1 species
CUGGCAGCAUCCCAGCAGAGUCAUAUUCCCAUUGCAUUCCUUGGAUAUCUCCCAGCCACUGGCCUGAGAAAGUCACUAACCUUCAUAUGCUUCAUUGUUCUGGCGGGAUGUCUCCAUCCGGAUGGUGUCGCGUGACUUCUGCUGACCACUGAGCAUGCACUUACACAGCUCAUCCCAGAAACAUCUGAUCUAACAGACACAUUCUGGCAAUACCACACCCCCUGCUCCUCAACACCCACCAGCAGGAUGCACAUCUCUUCCAGAGCUGCGGAGCAGCUGGGAGAAGGAGGUGCACCCAUGUUCCCCCUCACAAGGACAUGAGGGAAUUGGGACCAACUGCUGCUGCCACCACUGCCACCUGCUGAGAUCUCCAGCUCAAAGUGACCUGGACCUACUCCAUCUUCUGGGGCAGAGAGGUAAAUGGAGAUACACGUGGAAGGAUCUGGGGGCUAAGAGUGGGAAAAAAGUAUGAGGCAUCAUUCAGAGCUGAGAGAUGAGGUGUGGGUGAGAGAAAGGGGCAAUACGAGAUGGGGAGCACCAUGGUAUGUGGGGUACAUCACUCAGGAUCACAGUGAUAGAGAAAGGUGCAUUCAAGCCAUUGAAAAUUCUUUGUUGUGAUUCCCCCUGUAAGCCGAUGCAAUACCACAUGGGGAACUAUGCAGAAGAUACAUUAUGACUGCACAGUGGAGUGAGGAAAUGCUAGUCUGGAGGCUUGCCAUACAACAUUAAUUCUCCUCCUUGUGCCUGUGCAUUAUAGUAUAGCCCUUAAAGACACGAUCACGUAGUUCUGUUUGGAUUUUUCCACAGGACCCCUAACUCCUUUACUGCCAAGCUGGGGGUUUGUAGGAAAUGAGGGAGGGGAUUGGAGGUGGAGAAGAGAUUAUCUGGUCAUUAGCGCAGCUGAACGCUGCCUAGCCCUCUCCUGCUGCUGUCACUUAAAUAAGCACUUUCACAGUUGGCCAAUACCUCCCAAUCUGUUUGCCAGGCUACAGACACCUGGGGUCAGACUGGCAAAAGUACCGAGUGAUCUGCAUUGCAAGCAAAGUGCCUUCAGAGUAACAUUAUGGGAGUCUCUGGUUCCAGAGGUUCAAGAAUCCUGGCCAUUCCCAGCAGAAACCCUGGAAAGAAGUUCCCUGUACCACAAUCCCUCUUGUUUCAGCCAAGGAUGUAUUUUGCCCUCAUGGAUAUUUUGUAUCAGGCUAUCACAUGUUUGCCACUGAUUUCCUCUCCAAUUUGGGUGACUUCAGCAUCAAAGCUCACUAACAAGGGCCUUCUAGAGGCUGCUCAGCUCAUUUGCUUCUAUCAUCUCAACUUCAUGUCUUGCCCAAAGAUGUUCUCAAGUGUUCUAAUUUAUUCACUGAACUUUUCCCAACAUUAGGCUUUCUUGUCCACCCACCAUUCUCCACUCCCCCUCCCAGUCCUCUCCACAAUUUUCGUUUCCUUGUCCUCUUCUCACAGUACGUGCUCAGCUCUUACAUUCACCAAAAGCAAUUGUUUUUUCUUAUAU